rnacentral:rRNA from 1 species
UACAGAGGUCCCGAGCGUUGUUCGGAUUUAUUGGGCGUAAAGGGUGCGUAGGCGGCGGAGUAAGUUGGGUGUGAAAUCCCGGGGCUCAACCUCGGAAUGGCAUUCAAUACUGCUUCGCUAGAGUACUGGAGAGGAGGCUGGAAUUUACGGUGUAGCAGUGAAAUGCGUAGAGAUCAUGAGGAAGACCAGUGGCGAAGGCGGGUCUCUGGACAGUUCCUGACACUGAGACACGAAGGCCAGGGGAGCAAACGGG